GCAAAUUGCAUAAUACCUGGCUAUGGUUGAUAUCACAGGUGGAAGGGAUGAAUAGAUAGAGCAUUUUCGGUUGGAUGAAUGAAUAUGUUCCUAUCAUCAGAUCAUCUAUAAGAAAGGGCACGAGAUUCUCGUAAAAUGGGACCACUUGGCAAAUAUAUAUGCUCUUAUCCUGUGAUUUGGUCUUGCAUUCUCCACCACCCCUCAAAAAGCAUCAGCUAGGGUGGUAGCGUCUCUCUCAGCUCCCUAUGUCCUCUGCAUCCAUUGGUUGUCUGAAAUGCUGCAUGGUUGUACUGUCCUUUUAGAACCGAGGAAGAUGGUGGACAAAGCAUUUGGAAAAAACCAUUAGAUGGAAAAUGGAUGGCAAUCAGGUUUUGAGCCAUGUGAAUGCCAAUCUAAAUGAAUGAAAAGAAGAUGCCUCCAAUUGUUCGACGAAGGAGGAGUUUUAUGCACCAAUAUGCUCUUACGCACAACUUGGCCUAUCAUUGCUCAUCUAAGCGCCAGAAGGAUAUGGACCUUGGCAUCUUGUGGCAAAUCAAAAAGAGCUUUAUAUACUUGGUUAUGUGGAAAGGUCGCAUUAUGAAGUUUUAUUUUUGUUCCCAAGUUAAUUAAUUUCUGGCUUACUGCCAUUGAAACAAGACAGAUCAAACAUUGUUACAGGCUUGACAGCUUUUAGUUUUGCUGGCGAAGGCUGGAGUUGGUUUUUGUACUGCCAAAAUAUAGAUGACAAAAUUAACUCCAUACUUUUCUGAUCGACAUAAUUUCUGCAGUUUCUGAUCUCAUGAGUCAUGUAGGUUACAUUGAACAUGAGAGAACCAAGAACAAUUUUGUCAUGGUUCCGACAGUCGAUUCUACAAUCCAGCCAAUUUUUUUGCCCGUACUUGGUCUAAAUUCUGGAUCAGGUCAAGCCUACGUUAGACUCAGCUCAGUCAGAAGCAUUUGCAGACGUAGCAAUGGCAUGGUUUAUUUGCAGAAACAGGACUAGAUCACCACCUCCUGAGCUUGUUCUGGAGUAUUGGUUUACUUCUUCUUUCUAGUUAAUUUCAUGCAAUAAUACCAGUCCCCUGAUCAGCUUAAUAAGCUGAACUUCUGCCAAACUUACUUUAAGACCUCAAGGUUCAACAAGGAUGAUGGAGUUUUUCUUUAAAAAAGGGAAUGUACCAGAGAGAUGGCAUUGCCCCCAAGAGAAACUAUGGAUAUGGUCCCGUGCAGAUGAAGGAUGGUAAUCCUAUGGAAAACAAAAACUGUUAUGAUGUUUUAUUCCACCUGUGAUUUGGGGGCUUGUGAGUAUUUUUCGCAUCGAGUGCUAGUAUUAAUUUUGUUUUUGGGAAAAGGAAGAGGGAAAACUCUUUGCCUGGAGUCAUCCGAGUCCAGUUGCUCAAGAAAGAACUUUUCCAAGUUCUGAACCGAGAACCUUGGGUAGCUCGGGGAGCAAAUAUUGGGUUACUGUCAAUUCACUUUUAGCAGUCAAGUAUCAUUGUAACAUUUGUUUUGGCCUUUUUGAGACCUUUCUGUCUGUACUAUUCUUGUAAUGAACUGGUGUACAUUAAUUAUUUUCUUUCUUUGCAAAAGGAACUUAUGAUGAAAUAUUGUGCAAA